AACUUUAAACAAUGGAUCUCUUGGCUCUCGCAUCGAUGAAGAACGCAGCGAAAUGCGAUACGUAAUGUGAAUUGCAGAAUUCAGUGAAUCAUCGAAUCUUUGAACGCACCUUGCGCCCCUUGGUAUUCCGAGGGGCACACCCGUUUGAGUGUCGUGAAAAUCUCAACCUUCUCGGUUUCUUCUGAACACCGAAGGAGGCUUGGACUUUGGAGGCCUUUGCUGGUGUCUCUCACCAGCUCCUCUCAAAUGAAUUAGCGGGGUCCUCUUUGCCGAUCCUCGACAUGUGAUAAGAUGUUUCCAUGUCUUGGCUCUGUUGCCUUUGGGACCCGCUUCUAACCGUCUCAGCGAGACAACGUUCGAGCGUGUCUCCCCUCUCGGGGAAACACUCUUGAACCCACGAAACCUUGACCUCAAAUCGGGUGAGACUACCCGCUGAACUUAAGCAUAUCAAUAAGCGGGAGGCU
rnacentral:misc_RNA from 1 species